GGGUGGUAAAUUCCAUCUAAAGCUAAAUACUGGCGAGAGACCGAUAGCGAACAAGUACUGUGAAGGAAAGAUGAAAAGCACUUUGAAAAGAGAGUGAAACAGCACGUGAAAUUGUUGAAAGGGAAGGGUAUUGGGCCCGACAUGGGAAUCGCGCACCGCUGCUCCUUGUGGGCGGCGCUCUGGGCUUUUCCUGGGCCAGCAUCGGUUCUUGCUGCAGGAGAAGGGGCUGUGGAAUGUGGCUGCCGCGCUUUGCCGGGGCAGUGUUAUAGCCACUGGGCCAGAUGCUGCGUGUGGGGACCGAGGACUGCGGCCGCAAGGUCUCGGAUGCUGGCACAACGGCGCAAUACCGCCCGUCUUGAAACACGGAC
rnacentral:rRNA from 1 species